rnacentral:ncRNA from 1 species
UGUCUCCUCCACCGAUCCCAAUUUGGUGGUUUCAGGCCCGGCGUCAACACGUCGGGCCUUUUUCU